GUACUGCAAGGAGAGGAAGGAAAGGAAGGAGCUCCAGGAGAAGCAGAAGAGCGUUGCGCACCCGCCGCCGGGGCCGCUCAGGGGGGACUUGGCCAAGCUCAAGCCCCUGCUGGAUCGCAGGAAGAGCCGCAACAGGCGGAAUCACCUCCCGGAGGACUAAGGGAAUGACAGACGGCCGGCCGGGAUGUAGCCGGAGCGCCGGCCACCAGCAAAACAGGGCCUGGAACCUUUUUUAUGCCGUGUCGUGAUGAAAGGGACACGCUUGAAGGGAUCAAAAGGCGCAAAAGGAUGGAUGCAUGCUUGACUCUCUGGGGAAAAAAAUGGUGCCAAAUCAUCAUUUCCAAGUCGUUAGUGUCCACUUCCAAUAUAUCAUCAGUUAAUGUCGCUAGGGACGUGGCGUUUCAAGCACCAUGUAAGCAACCCUUUCUAUUUAUUCGUGGAACUGAUGUCCUGAAUAAAUGUGUUUAGCUGAGAUUGCAUCUCUGUGAGCUUCGAAGCUAAGCUAACACGCUAACGCCACAGUACCGCGUCUUAAAAAAACUGGUUUCUAAAGAAAGAUUUCAAUUCUUGUCCUUGGUUGUAAUUUUGUUAGCUUUGCGCUAGUUAACGGGCGUUAGCAACAAAACCGCAAAGUUUACAUUGAAAUUAUUUGAGGCCUUUUCACACAGUCUCAAUAAUGACCUUCAUUUGUCAUUGAGUCGUUCAGAAUAACACUUCCAGUGGCGUUUGUUUGAUGCUAACUAAGCUACUGAUAGCUAGCUUCCGUUUCCUGAGUGAUAUUUUUCAGUGUUGGUGUGCAGUAUAAAAAGUCUUGCUUUUGAAUAUGAA